rnacentral:rRNA from 1 species
UACCUGUGUGACUGCGUACCUUUUGUAUAAUGGGUCAGCGACUUAUAUUCUGUAGCAAGGUUAACCGAAUAGGGGAGCCGGAGGGAAACCGAGUCUUAACCGGGCGUUAAGUUGCAGGGUAUAGACCCGAAACCCGGUGAUCUAGCCAUGGGCAGGUUGAAGGUUGGGUAACACUAACUGGAGGACCGAACCGACUAAUGUUGAAAAAUUAGCGGAUGACCUGUGGCUGGGGGUGAAAGGCCAAUCAAACCGGGAGAUAGCUGGUUCUCCCCGAAAGCUAUUUAGGUAGCGCCUCGUGAAUUCAUCUCCGGGGGUAGAGCACUGUUUCGGCUAGGGGGCCAUCCCGGCUUACCAACCCGAUGCAAACUGCGAAUACCGGAGAAUGUUAUCACGGGAGACACACGGCGGGUGCUAACGUCCGUCGUGAAGAGGGAAACAACCCAGACCGCCAGCUAAGGUCCCAAAGUCAUGGUUAAGUGGGAAACGAUGUGGGAAGGCCCAGACAGCCAGGAUGUUGGCUUAGAAGCAGCCAUCAUUUAAAGAAAGCGUAAUAGCUCACUGGUCGAGUCGGCCUGCGCGGAAGAUGUAACGGGGCUAAACCAUG